GGCCUGGGUCGCUCGUCAGCCGGCGUGUAGGUGCUCGCGGUCAGCAGCAGCGUGCGGGUCUCUCCGGCUCCGGUGGUGCUCGCCUUGCAGAGAGAGACGCGGUCAUACGCAUAGCGUCGGAGCGGAUCUGAAUCAGACAGCAGUGGUGUGGCACAAUGGGGUCCUGACCCACAGCUGCUCACAGUGACAACAGCCUGUCGGAUUGCAUCUCUGUUUGGCGGGCGGUGACACACACACACACACACACACACACACACACACGAUUUUGAUUGGGAUGGUAUUUUGACGAGGGAAAAACUGACUUUUUGUAAUGGCCUUACAGGAAUAAAUGAAGCGGCUAACCCUAACCCUAUUUAUGUUGACUAUAACGCAGUACAUUGACUUUAAUCCUCACAUCAUAAUUCAGUAUUUCUUCAGACCAAACAUAAUUCUCUGAUAUGUUUACGUGUGUUGUGCUUCUUUGCAGCCGCUCUGUGUGGUGUAUCCUGGCAGUCACCGUCUGUAAGUAGUGCUCUCGUGCAGAUUGGUCCUCUGGUGUGCUUUCCCUGGAGGAGGUUGGCAGGAGGUCCAUGCUGGGAUGUCUGACACCUCUGCCGGCUGCACGGCUCCUGCUCGACACACAAAGAUACUUCACAUUGUUAUUGUUCAUUUUCCAUUUUGUUAAAUAAAUCUU